rnacentral:rRNA from 1 species
AUUGAACGCUGGCGGCAGGCUUAACACAUGCAAGUCGAGCGAGCGGCGGACGGGUGAGUAAUGCUUAGGAAUCUGCCCAUUCGUGGGGGACAACAUCUCGAAAGGGAUGCUAAUACCGCAUACCAUCAGCUGUGCCCAAAUGGGAUUAGCUAGUAGGUUGGGGAACGGCUCACGUAGGCGACGAUCCAUAGCUGGUCUGAGAGGAUGACCAGCCACACUGGAACUGAGACACGGUCCAGACUCCUACGGGAGGCAGCAGUGGGGAAUCUUGCGCAAUGGGCGAAAGCCUGAUGUAGCCAUGCCGCGUGUGUGAAGAAGGCCUUCGGGUUGUAAAGCACUUUCAGCGGGGAGGCGUUACCCGCAGAAGAAGCACCGGCUAACUCCGUGCCAGCAGCCGCGGUAAUAC